rnacentral:rRNA from 1 species
UACGUAGGCAGCGAGCGUUGUUCGGAGUUACUGGGCGUAAAGGGUGUGUAGGCGGUUGUUUAAGUUUGGUGUGAAAUCUCCCGGCUCAACUGGGAGGGUGCGCCGAAUACUGAAUGACUUGGAGUGCGGGAGAGGAGAGUGGAAUUCCUGGUGUAGCGGUGAAAUGCGUAGAUAUCAGGAGGAACACCGGUGGUGUAGACGGCUCUCUGGACCGUAACUGACGCUGAGACACGAAAGCGUGGGGUAGCAAACAGG